CGAGUUUGUUUUAAUUAAUGUUUAAUAUGAUAUUUCCUGUUUUAAUGUUACAGAAUUACUGUACCUACCUACUAAGUAUUUUUGAAAUUUGCGUUCCAUUUUGCUAGCUGUUUAUAUCAUACUGUUGCAUUUUAAAAUUAGUUUUUGACAGAAAUAAAAUGUUGUGCUUUACCAAGCAUGCGGCGGACCUAAGUGAUUGAUGACGAAUCUGAUUACUUCUCCAUGGACUCAAACCAGUGGUUGUCUCAGGCAGAAAGAGAAACUUUGUAAAAGAAGGAACAGGAGUCACAGGAAUUGCAUCAUGCCUCUCACCUUUCUCGUAAAUUCACAAUUGAUUUUUGAGGAAGGUCUUUGAGGAGGGAGGAGAUCUUACAGAGUACCAUAAGUGGUUAGAUGAGACUGUCCAUUCAAUCAACUCUGGAACCGUGGUGUCUCCUUCAGGGAGUUCUACAGAAAGAUCCAACAUUCCAUCUUUGAUAAAUCCGAGUCUACUACAGCCUCCACCAGUGUGGGUGGAUCAGAUUAGUGCAGGCUCAAACAAGAUUCGUGUGAUUCUCUAAUUGUUACUUGUCUUACUCCAGGACUAAGUAUGAAAAUACAGAAGGGAAGCUGGACUCCAAAAUCCACCAGGGAGCCAAAAAAGGAUUAAUGGCCAGACAAGAGCUAGCUAGAUAAACCAAAGAAGAUGCCAAGCAAAGAUCACCCGAAUAUGUUGAUGAGGAGCCAUGAUUAAUGCUUGUCAUCCAAAACAAGGACAACAAACUUUGUUAGCAAUAUUAUGGAUAAUUGACUGUUACAAUAAACCACACUGUGCUGUGGAAUUCAUUGUCGAAUUCAGAAGUAAAUGGUUUUUCUAA